GACCUGACCGGAUGUGCGUUUAUGACA
rnacentral:piRNA from 1 species